CACCUGUCCAGCCCCAGUGCCUCUCUAAGGCCCCCCCCCGCCCCCCCAGCUCUGACUAUCCUCUGGCACUAAUCAGGCAGCUCUGUAGAUGAAUGUACUGCUGGUGUUCCCCUCAUUCAGAGCAUCCCCGACCGCAAGUGUCCCCCCCCCCCCCCCCGUGUCUCACUCGCUGACCACACGGACAGCAGGACCCCAGUGUGUGUGUCGCUCGCUGACCACACGGACAGCAGGGCCCCUGUGUGUGUGUGUGUGUGUGUGUGUGUGUGUGUGUGUGUGUGUGAACUUAAGCUGAUGUGUUUAUUACGGCCCAGCUGUACUUAAUCAUUCUCUCUGUUUGUUUCCUCCUCUGUCAAAACCUAAGUGGCGUGGCCAACGCAGAUGCAGCAUGCAGGGUUGAGAGUGUCUCUCUCACACACACACACACACACACACACACACACAUAUACACACACACACACAUAUACAAGGACUCUAAAUGACAGUUUUGGUUAUGUUUCAGACGUGACGAACAGAGACGUCGGGUUAUUAGUUGGUAGUCUUUUGGUUUUGGUUUUGCCCUCUUCUCCAUGUUGAUAUUAGGAUCCAGUGCCUUGUAGAAUGGACUAUUCCAUUGAAGUGGAGGAAGAGGGGGGUGGAAGGUCCAGUAAUGUUAACCUUGUUCCAGUAAUGUUAACCAUCGAAACCUUUGGACACGUUCAUGCCAUGCGUGUGUGCAUGCCAUGCGUGUGUGUGUGUGUGUAUGCCAUGUGCGUGUGCAUGCACGCAUAUCUGCAUUUGUUUAGGAGUCCACACACACAUGAGCUUGGCGCUCUCUCUCUCUCUCUCUGAUGGUCCGUUUGGUUCAUCUGUCUCAUUGUGAGUCAUGAUCUCACCCUCACCCUCACCUACAGUAAUGCCAUUCAUCUGUAGAGGGAGGUAACCUGGUGGCGUCACCAUUAUAAAUUAGUCAUCUGUAAUAAGAGACUAUCGUUUCGUAAAAUCUGAAGAAUCAGAUAGUUUUCAGUUAACAAGACUGACUGUACUUUUCAGUGAGUUUUAAAAAGUGAGGUAUAAAAAAGACGGACUGUAAGGACUGUAAGUGCGACAACUAUAGCACAGAACCUGACCAUGCUGAGUCCACAUCUGCACUUACAAACACACACCACUUAGGUCACGCUUGUCCCUUAUUUACGUUAUCUAGGGUGUGUGUGUGUGUGUGUGUGUGUGUGUGUGUGUGUGUGUGUGUGUGUGUGUGUGUGUGUGUGUGUGUGUGUGUGUGUGUGUGUGUGUGUGUGUGUGUGUGUGUGUGUGUGUGUGUGUGUGUGUGUGUGUGUGUGCCGUUCCCUCUGACACUGUUUUAAUGCAGCUCCCCACUCCGAAAAAGCAUAUCAGCCCUCACCUGGGGGAGCUCACCUGUGCUGGACACCCUCGUCUCCCUCAUGUUUGUCUGAGGGGCGGUCCUCAUGAAAUGACGCCUCAUAACAGGCUUGAUGGCUAAUGAAUCAUGUACUUAUAUUCAUUUUGAUCACUAAUUGUGAGGGUUCUAGAGCCUAUUACUACUGCUCCUGUGUGGAUUGAGGAAGUGGGCUGGCCUGCAGCAGCCAGCCUGCUCAGGUCAGCCGUGAGGUCAGGGGUCGGGGGAAGACGUUAGCCAUGAGGGGGGAGGUUCGGAGCUUAUGCAAAACUGAAACGCACCCAGCGCAGACAGACUCUGAUUCUGGCCCGUGUCUGGGCCGGAUCGGGGCCGGAUCGGGGCCGGAUCGGGGGCCGGGCCUACGGCAGGAUUGGCUACCGGCAGGGGAACCGUCUGUGCGUCUCCUUUUGGACCUGAGCACAACACUUUGCAGGGUUUUGCACAUUAACAUCAUGUUCUAUUAUUGUUAUCUUUUUUCUAGAAGUAGAACCAGUGGCCGUGUGUCAGGGAGGGGUUUGUGCAAGUCUCCAUUCUGACUGUAACCCUUCAUUCUUGUGUACCUGCUGGAUCGGCGUUUGUGUACAUUUGUGAACAAUCUUAAGAAGAUUUUGCUUUUUUUUUUUUUUUCAGUACUUGUAAAUUGUUUAGCAAAAGUGGGUGUGGGCCUAUAUGUGUAUAUAUAUGGUAAUUGAAUAAAUGGUAAAUAGACAGUUCCUCACUGUGUUAAAACAACAACAACAACAAAAAGGGUCACUGAAAUUGUGGACUUAAUCAUUUCUGGGUGGAAUGUGGCAGCUUGGUCGUUGCCCUGGAAACGGACGAUGUGGAGUAAACUCGUGAGCGGGACGAGCGGCAAGGUGCCACGUGGCAGACCAGGCGGCGGCCAGGUGCUUGAGGUCUGCGUCUCUCUGUGGCUGAGUUAGUUUGGGGGCGCCGCGGAUCAAGUCCCCCUCAGUGUAGCUGUGUCCUCUCAGAAAGCCAAAUAAGAAGAGCCUUAGAGUGUGUGACGGCCACACCGGUGUGUUGGGCGUGUCAGGGGGCCACACACACGCAGCUCACCUGGUCGGGUACACGACUACACCCAUACGCACGCUGGGCAGGUGACCCGCGCCCUUCGCUGUGCUCCCCCGUGUUCUUCUUCUAGUUUAGUUUCCUCCUCGUGUCCGUCUGUACUCAAAAGAGGAAAACAAAGCUUUACAGUGUGGACCGAACCAUCUGUCUCGUCCUCUCGGGAGGAGUAGAUUAAACACGGAGAAAAUUAUGCAUUGCAUUUUUUUUUUUUUUUGUUACAUUAGCAAGCUUGCACAAUUAGGCACAUGUGGGGAAGGUGUUCUGUCUGUUUAUGUGAUUUAAUGUAUUAUAUAAUUCUUUAAAACAAUUAAAAACAGAAGUUUGUUCUUGGAUGGAAGAUGUUGUCCUUUAUUCGAUGUGUUUUUCAUUUGGUGUGUUUUGAUGCUCGUGCUGUGUGAGAGUGGUGACAGACAUGUGCACUGGCUGUGGUGUGAGUUCACAGAUGCCUCUCACAGAAUCCCCCUCUGGAUUUACCAAAAUGGACCUGAAGGAGGUUUCUGUGUCUAUUGUGCACAUUGAUACUUCCUAUGUGCAUUUCCACAUUCCGAGGGCCUGCACAUGUAAAGACAAAUAUAAGACAGGGUAGACUAUAAUAUAUAUAACGGGGUGUAAUAUAUAUAUAUAUAUAUAUAUAAGACAGGGUGUACACAGUAAUAUUUAGGGACACCAGCAUGUCUUCAUUCUUUUUUCUUCACAACAAAAACCGCUUUCUGCAUCUUUAGCACUCACCUUGUCAUCUGCCCUCUAACUGCCACAGCUCUUCAUCCGCAAUAGUCACCUUUUCAUGUUUUUCUCAGGCUUUGCAAAAGGUUUAUGAGAAAGGGGCGAUGUUGUAGAAUUGAUUCAUAGAAGGGUUCCUCAUUGUAGCAGCGUUUUCAUUCGGCAGAUCUGACGGUUUCAUUCAUCUCAGAUCAGACUCAAUCGGAGCAUGUCAGUUAUAUAGUAAGAGCUUAUCAGGCUCCAAACACGUCCUAGAGCCACAAAUGCGCCGUCUUAUCUGAGAGGUUUGGCCUCUAUGUUGGAAAAGCUCUGAUAUGGGCGGGGGUUGUUCACUCUCUUGUGUCCGAUGGCUGAUUUGCCACUGAUCGGACACAAGAGAAUGAGCACACAACCGUGUAGUAAUUACCAAUUACCAUUUAAACUGUAUGCUCGCCAUCUUUUCUCCGCUCUGCUUUUCCACGCUGCACAAUGGGAGACGCGCACUGACCAAAUUUAUUCAUUGAAUUUAAGUGCGGGAGAAGGCAGCAGAACAGGAACAAGCUCUAUCUGUGCGCCGCGAAUAGUACACCGUCACCAAACAUUUAAUUACUGCUGACAAGUGUAUGGCGGAUUUGUAAUUGGAGAUUUUCCCUCUUUUAAUAGCCUCGUUCACUUUCACCCGGCCUCUCACUGCUUCUAAUUGUAAUCUUUCCGUCCAAAAAAAAAUACACUGUGGGGUGCCCUGCAUCUCUUUUGAUGAUAUCUGCGAUUGUAAUUUAAAUUCAAAUUUUGCCCUGGAAAGUUAAUUAGUUGUAUUAAUAAACCAACACGAGAGGCCGCUUUGGAGAUGGAUUAUAUUGUUUAAGUGAUAUUUGGGUGGUUUUUGACUCUGAAAAUUAGGUUUUUGUACCCGACAUCGCUGAAGGGUAACGUUACGUCAGAAAACUCCUGCUGACUGGUCCAGCUGACGAAUUGGCAUUGAAGCGGCAUUCCCUCGUUAAGGAAGGACUCGCGCUGAGGUCUGUUCGGCCCUCCAGUAUGGUAACCUACCAACACACACAUGCAUCUGCGAGGCUUUCUCUGACUGGCAGAGAUUUUAGCUUGGCUUUUUCUGAUGCAACUCCUGUUACAUAUUGAUGUCAGAUUGUUGUAUGAUGAGAGAAACAGCCUGGGGCCAAGUCCAGAUGGCCCUGAAAUCACAGAUCAUCAGUCCAGCGAGGCUUGCACACUGCUACAGACACACUCGCUCAUCUCGCUACCUUUCUUCCCGGCU
ensembl:lncRNA